GUUCUCACUUCAGCCGCACAUAUACUAACAUUGGGACAAUGCAGAAAAGAUUAGCAUGUCCCUUUUGCAAGGGUGGAACACAAAUUCAUGAAGAUUUCCCUAUUUAA
ensembl:snRNA U6 U6 spliceosomal RNA